CAGUAGCCGCGGUAAUACGAAGGGGGCUAGCGUUGCUCGGAAUGACUGGGCGUAAAGGGCGCGUAGGCGGAUCACGCAGUCAGAUGUGAAAUUCCUGGGCUUAACCUGGGGGCUGCAUUUGAGACGCGUGGUCUAGAGUGUGAAAGAGGGUCGUGGAAUUCCCAGUGUAGAGGUGAAAUUCGUAGAUAUUGGGAAGAACACCGGUGGCGAAGGCGGCGACCUGGUUCAUGACUGACGCUGAGGCGCGAAAGCGUGGGGAGCAAACAGGAUUAGAUACCCCUGUAGUCCCUGUCUCUUAUCC
rnacentral:rRNA from 1 species